AGGCACUUGGGAGUCCAGCAUGUUUCACUGCACAACGCGUAAUGGAGGCGGCUAGUAGACAGAGCCUGGAACAGAUGCAUAGCGCCGCAGCCCGGCCGCCUGGAGUCUACGGUUACCAAGGUAACCAGACGCGAUACCGAUGACGUCAUCUAAGGGAGACCGGAAGUUAAGCAGCAGCCAGCGCGGCCGGGACGGCGUCUGAACACUGAGCGGGAUUCUCAUGUAUUUAAGACUGAGCGGUGGUUGUGCCAUCUUUUUUUUAACUCACUCCAAUUCAGCUGUCGCAAAGAAUGGCUUGCUAAGUUCCACGAGCUCCUCAUUGGCGGAAAGGUGUUUGGCCGUAUUGGAGUAGUCCUUCGACUUGACUUUCCACAAGGAUUCCUUGGAUUGUACCAGCUCAAUGAAGCCAGUGACAAAAUCCAAAUUUUUGUCAAGAGACAUAUUUGCAAAAAAGGAGGCAGGCAAAAAAAUGUUUUUGUUUUAUUACU